AGUGAACGCUGGCGGUAGGCCUAACACAUGCAAGUCGAACGGCAGCACAGGAGAGCUUGCUCUCUGGGUGGCGAGUGGCGGACGGGUGAGGAAUACAUCGGAAUCUACUCUGUCGUGGGGGAUAACGUAGGGAAACUUACGCUAAUACCGCAUACGACCUACGGGUGAAAGCAGGGGACCUUCGGGCCUUGCGCGAUUGAAUGAGCCGAUGUCGGACUAGCUAGUUGGCGGGGUAAAGGCCCACCAAGGCGACGAUCCGUAGCUGGUUUGAGAGGGUGAUCAGCAACACUGGAACUGAGACACGGUCCAGACUCCUACGGGAGGCAGCAGUGGGGAAUAUUGGACAAUGGGCGCAAGCCUGAUCCAGCCAUACCGCGUGGGUGAAGAAGGCCUUCGGGUUGUAAAGCCCUUUUGUUGGGAAAGAAAUCCAGCUGGCUAAUACCCGGUUGGGAUGACGGUACCCAAAGAAUAAGCACCGGCUAACUUCGUGCCAGCCGCCGCCGUAA
rnacentral:rRNA from 1 species